rnacentral:rRNA from 1 species
AGAACGAACGCUGGCGGCAUGCCUAAUACAUGCAAGUCGAACGAACUCUUCGGAGUUAGUGGCGCACGGGUGCGUAACGCGUGGGAAUCUGCCCCUUGGUUCGGAAUAACAGUUGGAAACGACUGCUAAUACCGGAUGAUGACGAAAGUCCAAAGAUUUAUCGCCAAAGGGAUGAGCCCGCGUAGGAUUAGCUAGUUGGUGAGGUAAAGGCUCACCAAGGCAACGAUCCUUAGCUGGUCUGAGAGGAUGAUCAGCCACACUGGGACUGAGACACGGCCCAGACCUCCUACGGGAGCAG